rnacentral:rRNA from 1 species
GACGAACGCUGGCGGCGUGCUUAAUACAUGCAAGUCGAACGGAAAGGCCCUGCUCUUGCGCGGUGCUCGAGUGGCGAAGGGGUGAGUAACACGCGAGUAACCUGUCCCUGUCAUUGGGAUAACUCCAGGAAACUGGGGCUAAUACAGGAUAGGAGCUCCUGCUGCAUGGUGGGGGUUGGUGAGUUUCGGCGGUUGUGGAUGGUCUCGCGGCUUAUCAGCUUGUUGGUGGAGUAGUGGUUUACCAAGGUUUUGACGGGUAGGCGGCCUGAGAGGGGGACCGGCCACAUUGGGACUGCGAGACGGCCCAGUCGCCUAUGUGCGGCAGCGGUGGGGAAUAUUGCGCAGUGGCCGGAAGCCUGAUACAGCAACGCCGCGUGCGGGAUGACGGCCUUCGGGUUGUAAACCGCUUUCGCCUGAGACGAGGCGUGAGUGACGGUAAUGGGUAAGGAAGCACCGGCUAACUACGUG